rnacentral:rRNA from 1 species
UAAGGAAUAUUGGUCAAUGGACGCAAGUCUGAACCAGCCAUGCCGCGUGAAGGAUGAAGGUCCUCUGGAUUGUAAACUUCUUUUAUCUGGGACGAAAACGGGAUUUUUAUCUCAAUUGACGGUACCAGAGGAAUAAGCACCGGCUAACUCCGUGCCAGCAGCCGCGGUAAUACGGAGGGUGCGAGCGUUAUCCGGAUUUACUGGGUUUAAAGGGUGCGUAGGUGGGCUUAUAAGUCAGUGGUGAAAUCUCCGAGCUUAACUUGGAAACUGCCGUUGAUACUAUAGGUCUUGAAUUAUCUGGAGGUAAGCGGAAUAUGACAUGUAGCGGUGAAAUGCUUAGAUAUGACAUAGAACACCAAUUGCGAAGGCAGCUUACUACAUAUAAAUUGACGCUGAGGCACGAAAGCGUGGGGAUCAAACA